rnacentral:rRNA from 1 species
ACCCACCUACCCCACGCACGCCCCCACUCCACCCACCCACGCACACCACACAACUACUCAUACAGCCACACGACCACACCACACCUCAAAAAAAUCACACAACCACACCACGGAACGCACACCACAAAUCCAUGGCCGGCGCGGGCGGUGAGCAAGGGAGGCAGCGCGGGCGAGGAGCAGGAGGCAGCGCGCGCGGUGAGCAUGGCGUACUCGCGGGCGGGGAGCAGGGAGGCCGCGCGGGCGGCGAGCAUGGCGGACGCGCGGGCGGCGAGUAUGGCGCGCGGCGGCUUCUUCCCUCGGGCGCGCGGUGGCCUCUUCCCUCGAGCAUGGCGGGUGGCGGCCACUACAGAGGAGCUCCUCCCUCCGGCGUCGGCCGCCCGACGCUGCACUGGCACGCGGCGGUGCCCCUCUCUCUCUCUCCAGGAACCUGCGAGCACGGCCGGGCGGCGGUGCGGAUACCAGGGUCGGGCGAGCAGCGCAGGCGAGCGUGGCUGUUCGGUGGCGCAGCGAGUAGGGCCGAGUGAGCGGCGCGAUGAGGCGGCGGCAGUGGUGUCCCUGUGGUAUUCUCCCCGGCGAGAAGAAGGCCGGCCGGCGGUGAAGAACAUGUCGCUGCGAUGGAGGACUUGAUUGCUUUUCCUUUUUAGUUUCUAACUAGGGGUCCUUGUGUAAAUUUCCUUGUGUAACUUCUGUGUAACUCCCACCUAUGAUGAAUGCAAGACACGGCUGUGUCGAAUCCAAAAUUUCCAUGAGCACAUUUUGGUUUGUUGUUCC